rnacentral:lncRNA from 1 species
CAAUAUUGCUUCAGGAAAGGUUUUAGAUGUAUUGCUAACCUCAAUAGCUCAAGGAGGUCUUAGAAUCGUCAAUCACAUCAAAAAGUGUUUGAUAAGUGCCAAGCUCUUUGUCCUGAUGCUGUGCAAGGAAGUCAAAAGAACAGGGAGUAGAAAUGAAGAAGAGAAGAGAAGAGGAGAUGGAGAUGACGUGGGCCAUUCUCACGACUCUUCCUUGAAUGCCUGCAUUUUCUGCCAUGCUGAAGGUUCUGUUUCUCCAUGUUUUCUUUCUGUCUUUCCCAGAGAGGUGCUGAGUAGCAAAUCAAAAUGCGUGGAUCCUACCAGGUCAAUCUUUGUUGUUACCAAUGCUGAAUGUAUAGAAGUUAUUCAAUCACUUUUAAUUUUUGUUAUUUCCACUUUAAAGAAUCAAGUUUGUUCUUUAAGGUCCUUUUGUAGGUUUAAAUCUGCAAUUAUUUUCUAUUCUCUCUCUUUUUAUGGCUAUCCUUGUACCUUUGUUGUUUAA